UUAAAUUGAAGAGUUUGAUCAUGGCUCAGAUUGAACGCUGGCGGCAGGCCUAACACAUGCAAGUCGAACGGUAACAGGAAGCAGCUUGCUGCUUCGCUGACGAGUGGCGGACGGGUGAGUAAUGUCUGGGAAACUGCCUGAUGGAGGGGGAUAACUACUGGAAACGGUGGCUAAUACCGCAUAACGUCGCAAGACCAAAGAGGGGGACCUUCGGGCCUCUUGCCAUCAGAUGUGCCCAGAUGGGAUUAGCUUGUUGGUGAGGUAACGGCUCACCAAGGCGACGAUCCCUAGCUGGUCUGAGAGGAUGACCAGCCACACUGGAACUGAGACACGGUCCAGACUCCUACGGGAGGCAGCAGUGGGGAAUAUUGCACAAUGGGCGCAAGCCUGAUGCAGCCAUGCCGCGUGUAUGAAGAAGGCCUUCGGGUUGUAAAGUACUUUCAGCGGGGAGGAAGGUGUUGUGGUUAAUAACCACAGCAAUUGACGUUACCCGCAGAAGAAGCACCGGCUAACUCCGUGCCAGCAGCCGCGGUAAUACGGAGGGUGCAAGCGUUAAUCGGAAUUACUGGGCGUAAAGCGCACGCAGGCGGUCUGUCAAGUCGGAUGUGAAAUCCCCGGGCUCAACCUGGGAACUGCAUUCGAAACUGGCAGGCUUGAGUCUUGUAGAGGGGGGUAGAAUUCCAGGUGUAGCGGUGAAAUGCGUAGAGAUCUGGAGGAAUACCGGUGGCGAAGGCGGCCCCCUGGACAAAGACUGACGCUCAGGUGCGAAAGCGUGGGGAGCAAACAGGAUUAGAUACCCUGGUAGUCCACGCCGUAAACGAUGUCUACUUGGAGGUUGUGCCCUUGAGGCGUGGCUUCCGGAGCUAACGCGUUAAGUAGACCGCCUGGGGAGUACGGCCGCAAGGUUAAAACUCAAAUGAAUUGACGGGGGCCCGCACAAGCGGUGGAGCAUGUGGUUUAAUUCGAUGCAACGCGAAGAACCUUACCUGGUCUUGACAUCCACAGAACUUUCCAGAGAUGGAUUGGUGCCUUCGGGAACUGUGAGACAGGUGCUGCAUGGCUGUCGUCAGCUCGUGUUGUGAAAUGUUGGGUUAAGUCCCGCAACGAGCGCAACCCUUAUCCUUUGUUGCCAGCGAUUAGGUCGGGAACUCAAAGGAGACUGCCAGUGAUAAACUGGAGGAAGGUGGGGAUGACGUCAAGUCAUCAUGGCCCUUACGACCAGGGCUACACACGUGCUACAAUGGCGCAUACAAAGAGAAGCGACCUCGCGAGAGCAAGCGGACCUCAUAAAGUGCGUCGUAGUCCGGAUUGGAGUCUGCAACUCGACUCCAUGAAGUCGGAAUCGCUAGUAAUCGUGGAUCAGAAUGCCACGGUGAAUACGUUCCCGGGCCUUGUACACACCGCCCGUCACACCAUGGGAGUGGGUUGCAAAAGAAGUAGGUAGCUUAACCUUCGGGAGGGCGCUUACCACUUUGUGAUUCAUGACUGGGGUGAAGUCGUAACAAGGUAACCGUAGGGGAACCUGCGGUUGGAUCACCUCCUUACCUGAAAGAA
rnacentral:rRNA from 1 species